CACCCUUAGAGGUGGAUCACUCGGCUCCUGCAUUGGGGAAGAAUGCAGCUAGCUGCGAGAAUUAAUGUGAAUUGCAGGACAUUGAUCCUCAACACUUGUAACGCACUUGCCACACAGGUUUCCUCCAGGGGCUAUGCCUGCUUGAGCAUAG
ensembl:rRNA 5_8S_rRNA 5.8S ribosomal RNA